GUGCACCAGUCGCGAAACCUCCGCAAUGCGGGAAACCGCGACGGGGACCCCGAGUGCCGUGGCAAUGCUACGGCUUUUCCGGAGUGUAAAAGCUCCGGGAAUAAGGGCUGGGCAAGGCCGGUGGCAGCCGCCGCGGUAAUACCGGCGGCCCGAGUGGUGGCCGCUAUUAUUGGGCCUAAAGCGUCCGUAGCCGGGCCCGUAAGUCCCUGGCGAAAUCCCACGGCUCAACCGUGGGGCUUGCUGGGGAUACUGCGGGUCUUGGGACCGGGAGAGGCGAGGGGUACCCCUGGGGUAGGGGUGAAAUCCUAUAAUCCCAGGGGGACCGCCAGUGGCGAAGGCGCCCCGCUGGAACGGGUCCGACGGUGAGGGACGAAGGCCAGGGGAGCAAACCGGAUUAGAUACCCCCGUAGU
rnacentral:rRNA from 1 species